rnacentral:rRNA from 1 species
CCUACGGGUGGCUGCAGUGGGGAAUAUUGGACAAUGGGCGAAAGCCUGAUCCAGCCAUGCCGCGUGUGUGAAGAAGGCCUUCGGGUUGUAAAGCACUUUCAGUGGGGAAGAAAGCCUUGGGGCUAAUACCCUCGAGGAAGGACAUCACCCACAGAAGAAGCACCGGCUAACUCCGUGCCAGCAGCCGCGGUAAUACGGAGGGUGCGAGCGUUAAUCGGAAUUACUGGGCGUAAAGCGCGCGUAGGCGGUCUGAUAAGCCGGUUGUGAAAGCCCCGGGCUCAACCUGGGAACGGCAUCCGGAACUGUCAGGCUAGAGUGCAGGAGAGGAAGGUAGAAUUCCCGGUGUAGCGGUGAAAUGCGUAGAGAUCGGGAGGAAUACCAGUGGCGAAGGCGGCCUUCUGGACUGACACUGACGCUGAGGUGCGAAAGCGUGGGUAGCAAACAGGAUUAGAUACCCGGGUAGUU